rnacentral:lncRNA from 1 species
GCACUGAAUGUAUGCGUAGUCGAGGUUUGAGGCGCGUCUCUUCACAGGCCACGCGGCAGCAGGAAAACUGUUAUAUUUUGUUUCUUCGACGUCAGUCGUAGCGGUUGACCAGUUAAGCUCCAAAUAUCCAUGACAUCUAUGGAGGCGCGUUGGGCUCUACUCUCCUACCUCGUCAUGUGUGCAAUUACGGGCGUCCCAAGCUGCAAACAGUUCCGGACCUUGUCGGGAAAGCGUGCGCUGGAAGCGAAGGCCUACUUCGGUAAAGCCAUGAGGGACUGCAGUAAAGAACUCGCAAAAAUGGCUUCGUUCACACCAAAAAACAACGUUGCCCAGACGGCAUCAGUUUAUUGCGCCGCAUACGAGAGCUGCGCUCGUGAAAUGAACGAGAGGAUAAAAGAAGGCGUCCAGCAGAAGCCUCAGCAAAUG